UACAGAGGUGGCAAGCGUUGUUCGGAAUUACUGGGCGUAAAGGGCGCGUAGGCGGUUCGUUAAGUCCUGUGUGAAAUCCCCCGGCUCAACUGGGGAACUGCACAGGAAACUAGCGGGCUUGAGUUCGGGAGAGGGAAGCGGAAUUCCGGGUGUAGCGGUGGAAUGCGUAGAUAUCCGGAGGAACACCGGUGGCGAAGGCGGCUUCCUGGACCGACACUGACGCUGAGGCGCGAAAGCUAGGGGAGCAAACGGG
rnacentral:rRNA from 1 species